CCUACGGGAGGCAGCAGUAGGGAAUUUUCGUCAAUGGGCGCAAGCCUGAACGAGCGAUGCCGCGUGAGUGAAGAAGGCCUUCGGGUCGUAAAGCUCUGUUGCGGGGGAAAAAAGGCAGCAUCAGGAAAUGGGUGCUGACUGAUGGUGCCCCGCCCGAAAGUCACGGCUAACUACGUGCCAGCAGCCGCGGUAAUACGUAGGGGGCGAUCGUUAUCCGGAAGGAUUGGGCGUAAAGGGUGCGCAGGCGGUCCUGCAAGUCUGGAGUGAAACGCAUGGGCUCAACUCAUGCAUGGCUUUGGAAACUGGAGGACUGGAGAGCAGGAGAGGGCGGUGGAACUCCAUGUGUAGCGGUAAAAUGCGUAGAUAUAUGGAAGAACACCAGUGGCGAAGGCGGCCGCCUGGCCUGUUGCUGACGCUGAGGCACGAAAGCGUGGGGAGCAAAUAGGAUUAGAUACCCGAGUAGUC
rnacentral:rRNA from 1 species